rnacentral:rRNA from 1 species
GUUUGAUGAUCUAUGAAAAACUCCCAGAUUGGACGCCGGGAUGCUUUACAUACAGUCGAACGGCAGCACGGACUUCGGUCUGGUGGCGAGUGGCGAACGGGUGAGUAAUGUGUCUCCAGGAACGCCUGGUGGCGGGGAUAGCUACGCGGCGUCGCUGGCCCGCAUACGCCCUUCGGGGGAAAGCAGAGCCUUCGAAGACUCGCUCAAUAUGGAAACGGCCGAUAUCGGGUUAGCUAGUUGGUGAUGUAUGAAAACGGCUCACCAAAGGCGACGAUCCAUGUGGUUUGAGGGAGGACAUUAGCACACUGGGACUGAGACACGGCCCAGGAGACUCCUACAGGAGGCAGCAGUGAGGGAAUUUUGGACAAUGGAAACCUGAUCCAGCCAUCCCGCGUGUGCGAUGAGGGCGCUGGAGUUUGUAAAGCACUUUUAGCGGGAAGAAACGGCACGGGGAUGUGCCAGUGCAACUGACAGUACCUACCCAGAAUAAGCACCACUUUAUUGACACCAUAAUGCAGUAAUACGUAGGAGUGCAAGCGUUAAUCAGGUUACUAGAUAGCGUGCGAGCGGUUCAGGAAAGAAAGAUGUCUUCUGAAAUCAGAAGGCUUAACUUUGGAACGUGAUUUUUAACUACCGAGCUAGAGUCAUGUCAGAGGAAGGUAGAAUUCCGCGUAUGCAGUGGUACGUAGAUAGCCGGAGGAGACACCGAUGGCGAAGGCAGCGCCUCCUGGGAUACAGCACUGUGACGCGUCUUGCGAAAGCGACGAGGAGCCGGCAGGAUUAAGAAUGCCCUGAGUGGUCACGCUAAGCGAUGUCAUGGCAAAAGCUGUUGGGGCCAUUGGGCGCUGGUAGGCGCAACUAACGUAAGUUGACCACGCGGGAAUGCGGUCAGCAAGAUUAAACUCAAAGGAAUUGACGGGGACCGCACGGCGACGGUGGAUGAUGUGCGAUUAAUUCGAUCGGCACUUGAAAAAACGCUACACCUGCCCUUGACGGCGUAAGGUCCAGAAGGAGAUUUGGGAGUGCUCGCAAAGAGAACCCGGAACACAGGUGCUGCAUGGCUGUCGUCAGCUCGUGUGGAUGUUGGGUUGAUCACAACCAAGCGCAACCCUUGUCAUCAGAUUAACUACGAAAGAGGCACUCUAAUGAACUGCCAGUGACCUGGGCGGGAAGGUGAGGAUGACGUCGAAUUCCAUCUUGGCCGCCUUCGGGUAGGGCUUCCACACGUCAUCUGUGGUCGGGACGGAAGGGUCGCCAGCAGCGCGAGGGGAGCGCUGUCCCGAAAGCAGUCGUAGUCGGAUCACGGUCUACAACUCGACUGCAGUCGGAAUCGCCUGGCUGUCGCGGAUCAGCAUGUCGCGGUGAAUACGUUCCCGGGUCUUGUACCGCCGCCGUCACUGGCACUUGGAGGUGGGUUUUACCAGAAGUAGUUAGCUGUUUGUGGGAGGGCAUUCUGCAGUGCGGGUUCAUGACUGGGUGGGUGGCGUAAGGUGGCACAGGCACCUGAUGCUCCCAG